UGGGGUGUAGCCAAGCGGUAAGGCAACGGACUUUGGCUCCGUCAUCCGGAGGUUCGAAUCCUCCCGCCCCAG
rnacentral:tRNA from 1 species